rnacentral:misc_RNA from 1 species
AGUGGAUGAUUAUGAUCCCGUUCUUCUAUCGGAGGCUGCCUUUUUCAUAUUUCGUUCUUCUGCUUUGUAAUCACACGCGUUUUACGUGGAAGUAUUUAGGAGGAAAUUUAACAUGGAAAACGGAGUAGUAAAAUGGUUUAAUGCAGAAAAAGGUUACGGGUUUAUUCAAUUAGAGGAAGGGAAUGAUAUUUUCGUACAUUAUUCUGCUAUUCAAGAAGAAGGCUUUAAAACAUUAGAAGAAGGACAAGAAGUUGUCUUCGAUGUAGUGGAAGGCGAACGCGGUCCACAAGCGGCAAACGUUGAGAAAAAAUAAAAACUAUUAUAGAUGCAAGCAGGAUCCUUGAGAGGGGUUCUGCUUUUU